GUGCAAAUGAUAGAAAAAAAAAAUCACUGUUUGUAAGGGGAAAAAAAUGACAUGAACAAAGGAACCACUGAUGCAC
rnacentral:snoRNA from 1 species